UAGAGCUUUAAGGGUUAGAACGACACCCUAAAAUCUUAAUUUAUUAAAUUUUUGCAACUGCAAAUAGAAACAUGCAAACACAAACAAAAUUGUAUUCUUGCUCAACCAUUAACUAACAUUUUACUUAAAAAAUGGUAUGAUAAAGAUUAAUAUUAAAUUAGAGUGGUAUCAUGUGAAAUUUCAAAAUAACAGUGGUACAAAAUGAAAAAGCCAAAAAUUCAAUGGUACCAAAUGGAAUAUCCCUUUAAAAUUUAAUAUCUUUUUAAUUAAUACUAAUGCAGUAUAAGUUUUAUAUAUGAAACUAUUUACUUUUAAAUUUAUGCAACAAAUACAAUAGAAAAAAAAACUACCUCUCCUAAUAUUAUUCUAGAUCGUGGUGAUUAAUACUUGUCAAAAGAAAAAAAAAAACUAAAAUUACUACGCCAUUACUUCUUGCACCAUAGCAACUUACGCCAUUACUUCUUGCACCAUAGCAACUUACGCCAUAGCUUGAACAAUCUCAUAGCUUCAGUCGACUCGCACACCAUCCCUACAACCACCACUCCCCAUAAUCCGAAAAUUCUCCCCCAUAAUAUCAAAUUCUUCCAUCAAAAUUUCACCUUUGCUUUCGUAAAAUUCAUAAUCAGGGCUCUCACAUUGUUCAAGUCGUCAAGUUGUGAUUCCCGUCAAUUCUUUUCAUCAAUUCUUCUGGAAUUUUUGUUUCUUUUCGUCAAUUUGUGAUUCUUUUGGAAAGAAAAUUUAUUUUCGACAAAUUAUAAAAUUGGUGCACUUGUAAAGGUGUGGCUUGUGUUGUUGCUAGCACCUUGAAUUGCAUUGUCUAUACGUGGAUUAAUUAGCUUUAUAGCAGACUUGAUCAUCCUCUGAGGCUUCGCUGGAUGGUGGAGACAGAUAGUUGUCAUUGACACCCAUCCCCUGAUGAUUAAGAAAGGAUUAAGAGAGAGAAACUUUUAAUACUCAACAAAUUGACUUUUUAAUUCCCAAAAAUUUGGUUCUUUGACUUGAAGGAUACUAACCAAAAUUUGCUUGUGCAUCUUUUCAUGCUAUAAUCACAAAAGGGUUCCGACAAUGAUGUGACAAGUUCUUAUGGUUAGUAAGAGAUUAAAUGCAAGCUGGCGUUCACAGGAGAGAUAAACUUUGCCAGUUGACUGCAUUGAGAUAGUUGAGCUUGUACAUUGUUGUGAGAUGAAGCUGAUAGAAUACUACUAAAAAAACAAGGAUCCACCUAUUCAGAUAAACUUUUAUCUCAUCAUUAACAAAACCAGCGUAGGAGGAUGUAUGACAUGUAACACAGAACCAAAAAGAACUCAUUUGACAUUCUAAGUAAAUCUAGAAGGGGUUCACAGUACAAAAAGACCGUAGAAAAUGGAUCUUGUCUCGUGCUAAUGAUCGAUGGAGGGCUUUCAAGACAAGAUUAAGAAAGUUAUGGUUAUACAGUUUUGUGUAAUAAUAUAUCUAAAAAUAUACUAUAUAUAAUGACACAUUUGAAUUGAAAUAGUUAUGUCAGUUGUUGAUUUAUCUGAACUUUUUUCAUGACAGUAUCCUCGUCAAGCUCUGGGCUCCAAGGAUUGUGGCUAUUAUGUAUGUCGUUACAUGAUUGAAACUAUCGCAAGUAGACGACAAUUAAUUCCUGAUAAGUACUUUCCACGGAUUCCUAGCACUUAUUCCCAAGAGAUGAUUGACGAGUUAAGAGAUAUGUGGGUGGAUUAUUUAAACAAUCAAACACAAGACGAUGGAGAUUGAAGACGACGGUCAAGUUUGAAUUGUACAUAUUACUUAAUUAUUUUAGAAUUUUAGUUAUAGUAGCUAGCAUUAGAUUAUAGGAAUUUUAUUUUAAGACAUUAUUAGAAGAAAUUGAUGUUUUGAAUAAAAUUGAUUUUGUAUAUAAAUUAAAUGUAUCAAAUAUUUUUUUGACA